GGGAAUUGUAGGUGUGUGCUGGGUGUGUUUUAUGUUGUUACUGUGCCCGAUUGGUUAAUCUCUGUCCCUCCUUGUGGGGACUUGCAUAAAAGCCUGUGUGUGAUCAUUAAAGCUUGGUUCAGUUGUACCCUUCUUCUUGACUUUGGCUGAUGUUUGGGGAUUCGUGUGCUUUAUUAAGGGAAUUAUCUUAUGAAGCUAUUUGGAGUACUAUACAAAAGUUGUGCAGAGCAGCAACCAAAUCCACAGGAGGCUUUGUGCUGAGCAGCAAUCAUGCAAAUGGAAC